AGAACGAACGCUGGCGGCAUGCCUAACACAUGCAAGUCGAACGAGACCUUCGGGUCUAGUGGCGCACGGGUGCGUAACGCGUGGGAAUCUGCCCUUGGGUUCGGAAUAACAGUUGGAAACGACUGCUAAUACCGGAUGAUGACGUAAGUCCAAAGAUUUAUCGCCCAGGGAUGAGCCCGCGUAGGAUUAGCUAGUUGGUGAGGUAAAGGCUCACCAAGGCGACGAUCCUUAGCUGGUCUGAGAGGAUGAUCAGCCACACUGGGACUGAGACACGGCCCAGACUCCUACGGGAGGCAGCAGUGGGGAAUAUUGGACAAGUGGGCGAAAGCCUAGAUACCAGCAAUCGCCGCGUGAGUGAUGAAGGCCUUCGGUUAGUAAACCUCUUUCAGCGCCGACGAAGCGAGAGUGACGGUAGCGACAGGAAGAAGCCGAACCGGCCAACUACGUCGACCAGCAGCCGC
rnacentral:rRNA from 1 species